UACGUAGGGAGCGAGCGUUGUCCGAAGUUACUGGGCGUAAAGCGCGCGUAGGCGGGUCAUUAAGUGGGAAGUGAAAGGCUGGGGCUCAACCCCAUGCAGCUGCUUCUCAUACUGAUGGUCUUGAGUGGGGGUAGGGAGAAGUGGAAUGGCUGGUGUAGCGGUGAAAUGCGUAGAUAUCAGUCGGAACGACCGGUGGCGAAGGCGGCUUCUUGGGCCUUUACUGACGCUGGAUGCGCGAAAGCCAGGGGAGCGAACGGG
rnacentral:rRNA from 1 species